GUUGUAUGGUUAAGUGACUAAGCGUACACGGUGGAUGCCUUGGCAGUCAGAGGCGAUGAAAGACGUAGUAACUUGCGAUAAGCCCAGAUUAGGUAGUAACAACCAUUUGAGUCUGGGAUUUCUGAAUGGGGAAACCCACGUGCAUAAGCACGUAUCCUUACCUGAAUACAUAGGGUAAGGAGGCGAACCGGGGGAACUGAAACAUCUAAGUACCCCGAGGAAAAGAAAUCAACCGAGAUUCCGAAAGUAGCGGCGAGCGAAAUUGGACUAGCCCUUAAGCUUUACACGCGUUAGACGAACGGUCUGGAAAGUCCGACGAUACAGGGUGAUAGUCCCGUAGUUGACGACGUGUGUUCAGUGAAAUCGAGUAGGGCGGGACACGUGAUAUCCUGUCUGAAUAUGGGGGGACCAUCCUCCAAGGCUAAAUACUACUGACUGACCGAUAGUGAACCAGUACCGUGAGGGAAAGGCGAAAAGAACCCCUGUGAGGGGAGUGAAAUAGAACCUGAAACCGUGUACGUACAAGCAGUAGGAGCACCUUCGUGGUGUGACUGCGUACCUUUUGUAUAAUGGGUCAGCGACUUAUAUUCAGUGGCAAGGUUAACCAUCUAGGGGAGCCGUAGGGAAACCGAGUCUUAACUGGGCGUUCAGUCUCUGGAUAUAGACCCGAAACCAGGUGAUCUAGCCAUGGGCAGGUUGAAGGUUGAGUAACAUCAACUGGAGGACCGAACCGACUAAUGUUGAAAAAUUAGCGGAUGACUUGUGGCUAGGGGUGAAAGGCCAAUCAAACCUGGAGAUAGCUGGUUCUCCCCGAAAGCUAUUUAGGUAGCGCCUCGGACGAAUACUACUGGGGGUAGAGCACUGUUAAGGCUAGGGGGUCAUCCCGACUUACCAACCCUUUGCAAACUCCGAAUACCAGUAAGUACUAUCCGGGAGACACACGGCGGGUGCUAACGUCCGUCGUGGAGAGGGAAACAACCCAGACCGCCAGCUAAGGUCCCAAAUUACUACUAAGUGGGAAACGAUGUGGGAAGGCUCAGACAGCCAGGAUGUUGGCUUAGAAGCAGCCAUCAUUUAAAGAAAGCGUAAUAGCUCACUGGUCGAGUCGGCCUGCGCGGAAGAUGUAACGGGGCUAAGUAGUAAACCGAAGCUGCGGCAAUGUGCUUUUGCACAUUGGGUAGGGGAGCGUUCUGUAAGCCGUUGAAGGUGUGUUGUAAAGCAUGCUGGAGGUAUCAGAAGUGCGAAUGCUGACAUGAGUAACGAUAAAGGGGGUGAAAAACCUCCUCGCCG
rnacentral:rRNA from 1 species